GGUGGAUUAGUUUAACAGGCAAAACAGGGAACUCGUAAUUCUCAAAAACCAGUUCAAGUCUGGUAUCCACCUC
rnacentral:tRNA from 1 species